rnacentral:rRNA from 1 species
AAAUUGAAGAGUUUGAUCAUGGCUCAGAUUGAACGCUGGCGGCAGGCCUAACACAUGCAAGUCGAGCGGUAGCACAGAGAGCUUGCUCUCGGGUGACGAGCGGCGGACGGGUGAGUAAUGUCUGGGAAACUGCCUGAUGGAGGGGGAUAACUACUGGAAACGGUAGCUAAUACCGCAUAAUGUCGCAAGACCAAAGUGGGGGACCUUCGGGCCUCAUGCCAUCAGAUGUGCCCAGAUGGGAUUAGCUAGUAGGUGGGGUAACGGCUCACCUAGGCGACGAUCCCUAGCUGGUCUGAGAGGAUGACCAGCCACACUGGAACUGAGACACGGUCCAGACUCCUACGGGAGGCAGCAGUGGGGAAUAUUGCACAAUGGGCGCAAGCCUGAUGCAGCCAUGCCGCGUGUGUGAAGAAGGCCUUCGGGUUGUAAAGCACUUUCAGCGGGGAGGAAGGCGUUAAGGUUAAUAACCUUGGCGAUUGACGUUACCCGCAGAAGAAGCACCGGCUAACUCCGUGCCAGCAGCCGCGGUAAUACGGAGGGUGCAAGCGUUAAUCGGAAUUACUGGGCGUAAAGCGCACGCAGGCGGUCUGUCAAGUCGGAUGUGAAAUCCCCGGGCUCAACCUGGGAACUGCAUUCGAAACUGGCAGGCUAGAGUCUUGUAGAGGGGGGUAGAAUUCCAGGUGUAGCGGUGAAAUGCGUAGAGAUCUGGAGGAAUACCGGUGGCGAAGGCGGCCCCCUGGACAAAGACUGACGCUCAGGUGCGAAAGCGUGGGGAGCAAACAGGAUUAGAUACCCUGGUAGUCCACGCCGUAAACGAUGUCGAUUUGGAGGUUGUGCCCUUGAGGCGUGGCUUCCGGAGCUAACGCGUUAAAUCGACCGCCUGGGGAGUACGGCCGCAAGGUUAAAACUCAAAUGAAUUGACGGGGGCCCGCACAAGCGGUGGAGCAUGUGGUUUAAUUCGAUGCAACGCGAAGAACCUUACCUGGUCUUGACAUCCACAGAACUUUCCAGAGAUGGAUUGGUGCCUUCGGGAACUGUGAGACAGGUGCUGCAUGGCUGUCGUCAGCUCGUGUUGUGAAAUGUUGGGUUAAGUCCCGCAACGAGCGCAACCCUUAUCCUUUGUUGCCAGCGGUCAGGCCGGGAACUCAAAGGAGACUGCCAGUGAUAAACUGGAGGAAGGUGGGGAUGACGUCAAGUCAUCAUGGCCCUUACGACCAGGGCUACACACGUGCUACAAUGGCAUAUACAAAGAGAAGCGACCUCGCGAGAGCAAGCGGACCUCAUAAAGUAUGUCGUAGUCCGGAUUGGAGUCUGCAACUCGACUCCAUGAAGUCGGAAUCGCUAGUAAUCGUAGAUCAGAAUGCUACGGUGAAUACGUUCCCGGGCCUUGUACACACCGCCCGUCACACCAUGGGAGUGGGUUGCAAAAGAAGUAGGUAGCUUAACCUUCGGGAGGGCGCUUACCACUUUGUGAUUCAUGACUGGGGUGAAGUCGUAACAAGGUAACCGUAGGGGAACCUGCGGUUGGAUCACCUCCUUACCUUAAAGAA